rnacentral:rRNA from 1 species
GCUUGCUGGGGGGAUUAGUGGCGAACGGGUGAGUAACACGUGAGUAACCUGCCCUUGACUCUGGGAUAAGCCUGGGAAACUGGGUCUAAUACCGGAUAUGACUCCUCAUCGCAUGGUGGGGGGUGGAAAGCUUUUGUGGUUUUGGAUGGACUCGCGGCCUAUCAGCUUGUUGGUGGGGUAAUGGCCUACCAAGGCGACGACGGGUAGCCGGCCUGAGAGGGUGACCGGCCACACUGGGACUGAGACACGGCCCAGACUCCUACGGGAGGCAGCAGUGGGGAAUAUUGCACAAUGGGCGGAAGCCUGAUGCAGCGACGCCGCGUGAGGGAUGACGGCCUUCGGGUUGUAAACCUCUUUCAGUAGGGAAGAAGCCGCGAGGUGACGGUACCUGCAGAAGAAGCGCCGGCUAACUACGUGCCAGCAGCCGCGGUAAUACGUAGGGCGCAAGCGUUAUCCGGAAUUAUUGGGCGUAAAGAGCUCGUAGGCGGUUUGUCGCGUCUGCUGUGAAAGACCGGGGCUCAACUCCGGUUC